GUUACAUCAAGAAGUCAGCAGUCUGUAACCUGGAAGAGGGCCCUCACCAGAACCCAACCAUGCUGGCACCCUGACCUCCGACUUCCAGAGCUCUGAGAAAUGAAUGUGUUAUUUAUAAACCACACGGUCUAUGGUUAAAAGAUCUGUUGCUCCACUCAGCGUUAUGGACCCAGGAAAUCAGCAACUAAGGAACAACUGCAAACUUUGAAGUCAGUAAGGACCCAGGAAAUUAGAAGCUAAGGGAUCGUGACCUUUGAAGUAAAUAAAUCUUGCCUGUAUACUAAUUUCAGAGGAUAUAAACUGUUCCUUAAUACUGCCUUAAAAAUUAUAUAUUUGUGUGUAUGUAUAAUUUUAAUGUAUAUGUUAUAUUUAAUGUAUAUAUUAUAUAUGAAAUACAAAAAUAUAUUUUAUAUUUACUGAAAUAUAAAAUACAUGUAAUGUUACAGGCUUAAUAAAAAGUGACUUAAUAUCUUGUCCUUGCUAUAUGUCAGAAGUAAUUAGUAUUCUAUUCAUUUGUAAACAUUAAAAAUUUUUCAAUGCAUUUAAACUUUUUGAAGCGUAUCAUAGAAAUUUAAAGAUCAAGUUUUGCUUUAGGAUCAUUUAUGCUUCAUUGAAACUUUGCAUGAUGUCCCUCUCCAUCUUUCAUUCAAAAGUCUAAAUUUAGGAUGGUGUGAGAUUACAGCAAAAGGAGAGUUACAGAAUUGAGCCAGUUAUCUAAAAAAAAACUCAGGCCAAGGUUGCUCUUUUCUCAAUUCUGGGAACCUUUUCCAUUAUUUCAGCUAAAAAGCUUGUUUCAUUAUCAUACAUCACAGAGUCACUUUAAAAGUGUAUAUGGAUGAAAUGUAUACAUUCAUUAUGUAUUUCCCGAAUUCUCUUCAAAGAAAACUUGCCAGACUAUAUAUAUUAAUCGGAAAUUGUUGCUUUAUUCUCACCAUAGAGGAACCAUAUAAAACACUUGAUCAUAAAGUAAGUUCUAAAAUUAUAAAC
rnacentral:lncRNA from 10 species